rnacentral:rRNA from 1 species
GAUGAACGCUGGCGGCGUGCCUAAUACAUGCAAGUCGAGCGAACGGACGAGGAGCUUGCUUCUCUGAUGUUGGCGGCGGACGGGUGAGUAACACGUGGAUAACCUACCUAUAAGACUGGGAUAACUUCGGGAAACCGGAGCUAAUACCGGAUAAUAUUUUGAACCGCAUGGUUCAAAAGUGAAAGACGGUCUUGCUGUCACUUAUAGAUGGAUCCGCGCUGCAUUAGCUAGUUGGUAAGGUAACGGCUUACCAAGGCAACGAUGCAUAGCCGACCUGAGAGGGUGAUCGGCCACACUGGAACUGAGACACGGUCCAGACUCCUACGGGAGGCAGCAGUAGGGAAUCUUCCGCAAUGGGCGAAAGCCUGACGGAGCAACGCCGCGUGAGUGAUGAAGGUCUUCGGAUCGUAAAACUCUGUUAUUAGGGAAGAACAUAUGUGUAAGUAACUGUGCACAUCUUGACGGUACCUAAUCAGAAAGCCACGGCUAACUACGUG